rnacentral:rRNA from 1 species
UAGCAUGACCAUACCAGCUUGAGAAUGCCAGAAAGCUAAGCAGGGUUUGGCCUGGGUCUUCCUUGAAUGGGAGACCACUGGGAAUACCGGGGGCUACAUUGG